rnacentral:lncRNA from 1 species
AGCAAGCGCCUGGCUCUUCUUUCUGAUUCCUGCAGGAAAGGAGGCUGUUCUUGGACUAUGCCUGACCCGUUUUUUAAGAAAGAGUGCAUCAGUCAACAGGUGGCGUCUGGAGUUAUCCUCUGUGGAUUUUCCAGGAUCUCAGACAAGAUCGUGCAAUCUCCCAGCCUCCUUUCCUUCCCCUGCCCUGACUUCUGAAAGAAUGCUGCGGAGAGGAGGGAGAGCAUCCUGGCUCCUGGCAGCAGAGCCCCACUGUGACAGGACCUAGCAUUCACCUUUCUCUUCUGUUCCGAGUGUGAGAAGACUUCAGGGACCUCUGUUUCAUGGACAUUAUCAUAUUCUUCUCAGAGUACCCAGCAAGAGGUUUGCAAAGAGGAGUUAUUCAAAUCAGAAUCAUACCCUGAGAGCUACAAGAACUCCAUUUUUCACUGUGCAGAGGCUCUCUGCUGAAGGGUCAAGUGGAAUCUGGAAUCCAGCCCAUGUUUCCCCAUCAUCAAGCCCUGUGAAGCUGCAGACUCCAAGCAACAGAGAGACAAGAUUUAGAAUACUGGCUCUGGUAUGAAAGCUGGAUUCAGGUACUGUUCCUGCCUCUUGACCUCACCAAGCCUCAGCCUCCUCGCCUGUUAAAUGGAUACAAUUGUCGUCAUUAUCAUCUGUUGAGAACUCCCU